AACGAACGCUGGCGGCAGGCCUAACACAUGCAAGUCGAGCGAGAUCUUCGGGUCUAGCGGCGGACGGGUGAGUAACGUGUGGGAAUAUGCCUCUUGGUACGGAAUAGCCUCGGGAAACUGGGAGUAAUACCGUAUGUGCCCUUUGGGGGAAAGAUUUAUCGCCAAGAGAUUAGCCCGCGUUGUAUUAGGUAGUUGGUGGGGUAAUGGCCUACCAAGCCGACGAUCCAUAGCUGGUUUGAGAGGAUGAUCAGCCACACUGGGACUGAGACACGGCCCAGACUCCUACGGGAGGCAGCAGUGGGGAAUCUUAGACAAUGGGGGCAACCCUGAUCUAGCCAUGCCGCGUGAGUGAUGAAGGCCUUAGGGUUGUAAAGCUCUUUCAGCUGGGAAGAUAAUGACGGUACCAGCAGAAGAAGCCCCGGCUAACUCCGUG
rnacentral:rRNA from 1 species